rnacentral:lncRNA from 1 species
GCAGAGCCAACAAGUGCAGUUUUUCAGCGUAAGGUCAGGUUACAGAAAGGCCUAUUUUGAUAAGCAAGGCAUUGCAAACAAAUAGGUAGAGCAGAGAGCUAACCUAAGGAGCGAGCUUGUUGUAGUUGGUCUAAAGGGGGAAAUAAAGGACUGUCCCACUACUACUUCCUUGAUUCCCGGGAAAGAAGGAAGACCGAGGGUAACUAACUCUUCCUUCUGAAAAAUCUAUAUCCCAACUCGUUUUCUCGAGCCUUCCCCCCGUUUGGAGUAUAGCCAAGUGGUAAGGCAUCGGUUUUUGGUUAUGAUCCAAAAAGAAAAAAGAAAGGUUUAACAAGCCAUGAGAAAAUAGAGUAAAGUAACCAUACGUUCUGUUUGCAUAACGUGUAUACGCCACGCCAUACAAUCGAAAUAGAAACAUGGGACGAUUCCAGAAUUUUGAAUAGAUCCGUGGGGAUGAGAGAAGUUGUUGUUGAGAAAUAUGAAAUUGGAAAGGAAGUCAAACUCCCUAUGGAACCUGUGAUCGGUUGUACCUGUACUUUAGUGAUACGAAAACUCGCUAUUCACUCAGUUUCUGGUCAAUAAUAAGAUUAUGUAGGAGAGAUGGCCGAGUGGUUCAAGGCGUAGCAUUGGAACUGCUAUGUAGGCUUUUGUUUACCGAGGGUUCGAAUCCCUCUCUUUCCGUUUCUGUUAAUUCACCAAUGUUACCGACCACAAUGAAAUUUCUAGUAAGAGGAAAAUCCGUCGACUUUCUAAAUCGUGAGGGUUCAAGUCAAGUCCCUCUAUCCCCAAUAAAAAGCCCAUUUUACUUCCUAACUAUUGUACUAACCUCUAUUUUUCAUUAAUGGUUCAAACAAGAUUCACUAUCUUUCUUAUUCUACUCUUUCACAAACGGAUCCGAACUGACUUCUUUGGAUCUUAUCCCAUUCAUGCAAAUGAACAUAUUAUAGUAUAGGCAAGUAAUCCCUAUUAUUAAGUAAGUCAUUCACAAUCCAUAUCAUUAUCCUGAUAUUUACUAAGUCCAAUUUGAGAAUACUUUUUUAUUUUUUAGUCCCUUUAAUUGACAUAGAUACAAGUACUCUACUAGGAUGAUGCACAAUAAAUAGUCAGGAUAGCUCAGUUGGUAGAGCAGAGGAUUGAAAAUCCUCGUGUCACCAGUUCAAAUCUGGUUCCUGGCACAGAACGAACAAUGAAUGAAUGCCUUUUCGGGAAAGAAUGUUCUUGUUUUUCGUUGGAAAAACCAACGCCGACGUCAAGAUCAGUCUCCUUUCCUUUCUCUUUUCGGGAGCAGAGCUGAAAAAGAUGGCAUUUUCCGAUGGGAGCUACUUGUACCAAUUUAUCGGAAGUUCUCACGCAUACCGUAACCGCCCAUCCCUAUCCCUUUUGUUUUCUCCUUUGUCUGAUUUUUAGCGUUUUGGGGGUUGUUUUGUUUAGACAGUUAGCAUAUGUAAAAAGAUUUAAUGAGAGAAACCUCUCGGAUAGGAUGGCUAUAGCCCGAGAGAUACUGGAGCAUAAUAAACAACUCGGCAUACCUAUGACGGUAGAGCUGAGUUGGAAAUGCUUCCUAAUCGUACCGGUACCUAUACAAAAAAAGAAAGAUAAAACCUGAUACUUCUUGACCUUAUCCCAUUUUCUUAUUGGAAUUCCAGACCUAAAUUGAAAUGAAUGGAAGAUGCCUCUGGAACCUACGCACGAGUGAAAAGCUAAGCUAGUUUUGAAAGAAUUGGCACUAAGUAAGAGGUGAUCUGCUUUUGGCCUUGUAUUGGGCAGCGGGACGUUAUGAAGGGCAGCUAAAACAUGACUCUUGCGAUGCUGAAUCAUCGAUUGAUAGAGGUGCUGAGAGGGCUGUGACUGCAGUAGCCUCACUUCACUUUUUUCCACCAUCACUAGUACGUGGGGUCCCGAAAACCAAACAAAGAAUAAAAUGCACGCACGAGUUGGUGGAUUGGGUUAAGCAUCUAACUAACUAGAUUCCUUACUCCCAGCGAUGACCUAUAAUAGAAUAUGAAAAGCAAUGUUUCCCUUAAUCUCUCCCAUCUGGAUAGAUAAAUAAAGGUCAUGUGUAGCUCGUAUAAAAAACUCUAAAUGAAUUAUUUCCCUCUGGCGAAAGGAAAAGAUUGUUGGUACGAAAGCCGCUAUUACACCACUUGAGGGCUGAACCAACCUCAUGCUCCAUCAGAUACAAGAAACAGCCCAACUCUAAGCUUAUUGAUCUGAAAUGCACUUUGAAACCAAUGCCUUAGCGAGAGAAUGGAGGAGUAGACGCCUCUUCUUAUAGAUGGACUAUGUUUUCUCUUUUUAUAUGAUUAUUCGAGUGAGGUGGUUGAGAUGCUUCUACAGGGUGGUUCUUGAUAGGGCAGCUUCUAAUACAAUCAGUUAAAGACGUAGUUCAAGUUUGGUAUCUACUUGAAAUCGAAUGAAAAGGAAUGCACUCCCUUUGGUCGGGGUUCGCCAUUCGAUGCCUCAACCAAAGGGAUUAUUGGAGGUGGUAGUAUGAGCCAAGAUAGUCGUGAGAUACGUUAAGCUGCUAAUAUGUCCAUCUUUGUAUCCAUACGGAGGGAGAAGGGAAGGCCCAUUGAUCCUCUUAUGAGUCGCUUAACUAAAGCUCGAACAAUGUCCCUUCUGGUUCGCCCGAGAUUCCUGUAAUAAUGCUUGAUCCAUAGUAAAGUAAGUAGAAAUGGGGAGGUCGAAGCUAGCGAUCAAGCUGCUCCAUUAGACCCGAAGCUUUCUUCUUAUCCCUUUUGUCUUCUUACGUAGGAUGAUUUCAUCCGAGUGUGUGUAAGGCGGGUGGCAUUCUUACCCAUAAGCUCUAAGCAACCACCUACUUGUAAUAUGGUAUCCUUUCUCUCUUCCUGGGACUUGAGGGGAGGUUAGUACCGCGAAUAAAGUAGUACUCGCUAUCCAGCCAGUCAUCUACUUGACAAGUUUGGAAAGAAUCUCUCGGAAAAGAGAGCGCAAUCUCUCUUUGCUUGUGCCACCCGGGCGGAAGAUAUAUCUGAGUCGAGCUCGUCGAAGAAGAAACAGCUACUGACAUCCAGGGAUGAGGGCUAAGAUCAGAGUGAACAAACAGUGCGAAAGAGACUGAGAAGGGGAAGCAUGCACCCGAAAACAACUUGUUUGUUUUGGUGGAAGAGGAAGAAAUAGAGAAAGAUCGCCGCUUUUCAUACGCUAAUUCGUGAUUCAAAGUAGAUCGUUUGAGGGAGGGUUCGCUGUGAUUGUUUUCAAGUGAUCUGCCACUGGUUUUCCUGAGAAGGUAGUCCAAUGGCUUCUUCUUUUUCUACACCACCUGGGAACUGUCCUCUUUUUCUACACUACCUGGGAACUGAAGGGCUACUCGGGAGGCUUAAGGCAAGGUCAACCCAAUCCUUACCACUUUGUCUUGAUCAUACUUCCGCUUUCUACCUUCUUGUUUGCAAACUCGUAGCUUCUUCAACACUCAGCCAAAAACAACCAUAUUGAACAAGAAUCUCUUCUUCAAAGCGGAAUCUGAAAUCAAUGAGUCCUGAUCUACACCCUUAGACGUCGAUGCACUUACUCCUUACUCUAUUUGGACUUUAUGGCUAAUGACUUACUUGAAAGAUUCGUGCAGGUACAUAUACAACUGACUAUACUACUAAUAAUAAUAGUGACUCUGGUUCAACUUCUUACUUUUCUUGAUCGUACUUGUACUAAAUUAGAGUUGAUUGAAUAAGGAAGGCUGACACGCUUCUCGGUUGUGGAGUCAGUUCUCGGUGGUGGUGCCUUCUUCUUUUUCUUAUAAUAGAGACACAUACAUAUUGACUUGUUGACUUGAUUUGAGAAUAUACUUCAUUUACUUUCUUUCAUCGUUGAUAGAAACUGAACUCAAGACAGACCUUCCAGCUUGAUCUUAUUGAUGGAUCAUUCACUCAAUCAAAACAUUGACGCAUGUGCCUUCUUUCUAGGUAAUUGAAUAGCAAAGUGACGGUCUCAUCAGCGGCCUGGGAGUGAAUGUGGAAGCUUAACACUAGCAACGGGCAGAACAGUUGGUAAAGGAGAUCAUUGGCACUAUGGCGCAUGUAUGUUGAGUUCUUGAAGCAUUGCCGAUAUCGAUAUAUAUUUCUUUGCAUGGGACAGUAGCCUUUUCUGCUUCUUUGCGUGGGUGCGUAGGUAGACUAGCCUUUUCUGCGGCGGAACAAGCUAAGAAGUGCAGGCGGCUCUGGUUUCGAAUGGUACUUACUCGUCUUGUGACUAAGUAAAAUAAAAGAUUGUUGCUUUUCAAGUGGUUAGGUCACCAAGGCGCGGGCGGCUCGCUACAUUCUGUAGUUCGUUCACUCCUUUCUAAAUCACUCGUCAGGAAUGGGCUCGUCCCGUGGCCUCUUCAUUGAGCUCUUUCACAUGGAGAAAACGUAUCAUAGGUUGCCCAUCCUGAGCGUGACUUUCUCCCCUCUUUCUUUCAGCCUGACCCAAUUUCCCAUAGUUUGUUUUUCAAUUCAAGAGAUUGUAGGAAAAAUAGUGAUAGUUAGCAUUUUAGCUUCUCCCCAGUCGGGGUUUCGACAAGGAAUACCAUUUGGAUAAGGCAUUACGCUACAUAUCUUUUGCGAAAGCAGCCUCAUUUCGCCCAAGUGAAAUAUAGAAAAAUGUGAGGUUGUAGAUCUACUAAACCGACCCCAUUCAUUAUCGUAGGAACUUUUGUGGAUCCAAUACCAGACCCUCUUGUUUGUUCAAUCGCAAUCUCACUACAUUGAAAUAGUAAAAAAGGUGUCACCUCACUCAGUUCGAGGGAUGGAUGGCGCUUUCUUCUGUGUAUCGACAUGUCACAUUACUUGGUAUCUCCUCGCUUUCAAGUCUUGAUGAUGUUUUAGUAGCUUCGGGUAGGUAGAUGUAGACAGGUACCUUUGAUGUUUGAACUUAUUUGCGAUUUUGCUUUUAGCAGAGCUUCCUUAAAUGGGGUAUAACAAGCUCUUCCCUUUGAAUGAUACGAUGAGGAAGAUCCUUACGAGAAAUCUCCUACUUUCCUCUCUACAGGGAAGUGCGCCAGUUCGAGAAAUAUCGUUGAUAGAAUGAAUGCUCUUACGCGCUAAUGAAUGAUGACUUAUUUAAAGAAUUUCUUGAUAUCUUGCAGAAUGGUUUUCAUGCUAAUCAAAAUGAAUUUCUACUUGUGCGCUAAGAGAGACUCUGGUGGAAUCAAACCAGUCUCUUGGGAAAAUCAAAUGGAUGGAUCUCUUUGUCAGCUUCUUGUUUGAGAAAAAGAGUAGUGACUCGCUGGAUUGAGAUUUCUAGGAAAAAGAGUUGCGAACGAAAUCCUACACUCCCUGUAGGUAGGGCUGGGCGAGAAAGGGUCCCCUCUGAAGCCUAUAAGUUAGUAAGCAGGCCAAAUAUUCCACCGGGGUCUUUCUUAGCAAACUCAUUGAUGGCAGUACCUAACUAAAGAAGAAUAGCGCUCUUUCUUUCUUUCAAUUACGUUUCUUGAAUGGUUCUGCACUUAGAUCAGUCAAUACACACGAAACCCUUUAAUCAAGUGAGUGCCACUUUAACUCAGCUCUUUCCUAGUGAUCUUGAUUAUCCCUAGAAGCAUCUCUUAUUUUCAUAUAGAAAUGAAAUGGUUUAGUGGAAAAGAGGGAGAUCUGGACUCACUUCUACCAAUCGAAGAUUAUCAUAUUUUAAUUAAAGGCAAAUGAGAGUCAGAAAAUCGUAUAAAAAUGAAUAAGUUAGGCUUCUUCAGGUUAUAGAGUCGUGGCUUCAAGCUCCAGUCUUAGUUUUACUAGAGAUCAAAUCGAAAAAGGCUCCCCGUGGACUCUACGCAGGACUUUUUUAAAAACCUUACAUAAUUUGAAUUUCUCUUUCAUUCCAUGUUGCGGAUAAUGUGCCGUUUGGAAGUGUUUUGCUCCAAAAUGUUUGGUAAGUUCGUGCUCGGCUUGAAUUUUAAUGCUUCUCCCGAUAUCUUUUUCUUCCUCAUUCUUAUUUUUGUUUUCGUAUCACGGAUGUUGGUUCGCGCUUUAUGGCCACGUUGCCCUGUCUGGGCUGGGCACGUUUUUACGGGCUUUAUUUUGAUCGCCGUGCUGCAGUCUAGCAUUACCACUGCGGAAUGCUCGCCCGCUAACGACCCUGCACAAAAUGCAGAUGCCUCGACUUCCGGGACGGAAACUAUAACCCCUGAUAUGCUCGAGAAGAGAUUUCUCGCCUUUAUAUCCCAAUUUGGGAGAAAGGCACCCCAGCAACGGAUUUUCGAUAGUUUUGUCCAAAAUGUGAAGUUACACUCAGCGCCACAGGUUGAUUUAGUGGAGCUAAACCGCAUAAUUCAAGUCAUAACCAACGCGAAGCACCAGUUCCAAACUCCUGGCGAGGCAGCCAAUAAUGUUGUGAAUCUUUAUGAUGAAUAUUAUUUCAAGAAAUAUGGUAAGCACUUGUAGCAUUAACCGGUAUGACUUCCUCUUUCAUUACUUCAUCCUUUCCAUAUCCCUCUCCCUUGUUCGAUCUUACUCAUCAAAUGGCACUCAGUUCAUAUCUGUAAGUUCGUUCGAUCAUUGACAAGGUUCAAAGAAAGGGUGGGCCAUUCACCAUGAAGGCUAAAAGCGAGAUAGGCUUUACUGGACAUUUUCGCUUACAAAGGCGAAGACAAUUCCGCAUUUUUUCAGCCGAUUCUCCGAAAUUUAAGACAAUUAUCCUCACUCAAACUUCAAAAAGUCCUUUUUUUCUGAUGUAAAUUAUGUCUGUCUCCUUUGUCCUUCCUAACGCUAGUCUAGUCUCCGAUUAAAGGAUUGAUACAGGCGUGCUUCCUUGCAGAGGGUUGUUUUAGACACCUACCCACCAGAAACUUCGCUUUGCCACCCAGGUAUAACCAAAGCAAUCCACAAAGGAAUAUUUACUACUGGGUCCAUCACGUGUCGAGAUACCGGUGCAUCCCUUGCUGUUUCCCCAUCGGCUGAAGUUGGAUCAAAGUCCCCGGACGCGAAUGCUCAUUAUAGAAAGAACUAGGCCUACUUAGGUAAACAGGCACCCCAUCACUACCGUAGUAGUUGAAAUCUCUAACUUAGGUGCGUUUGCCCAUUACUUCUACCCAUCUACGCGAUUCUGAGAUCCAGCCAUUGGAACUGAGAGAUCCCCGCUAUUUGACCUACUCAAGUAGGCUUUCUAUUGAAUAUCCACCCGUGUAAUUGCUUUACUGGUAGAAGCACCAAGCUUUGGUACUAUAGUCGUACUCGAGACCCUAUUGAGCUUCUUAGUCUUCUCCUUUCUUUGGCUGGUGAAGGGACGGUGGACUUGUUGUUUCAUUGCUCUCGCGCUCUGAUCUUGAUAUUGAUUGCCAACUCGGAUAGAGGAAGUAAGAUGUUCUGUUUGGGCCAUCGUUCUCUGUUCUAUUGGAUUUGACACUUUUUCUGAUCUCCCUCUGCCUGUUUUUGAUCUCAAUAAAAGAGAAAGUUUCAUGCCAGUAUGGGCGAAAACCAUCAAUUUUCACAUUCCCCUAAUAAAUGGGUGUUUUUGAGGUCCUUUUUCCGAUCAGUUUCAUGCCAGUAUGGGGUCAAAGUAUACAAAAAUCACAUUCUCCCUGUAGAACGCUAUUUUUAGAGCUCUCCUUUUUUGGAAACUUUCAUUGCGCAUAGUACGAAAACCAACAGAAAUCCCACUGGCAAAGGUGUUGUGCCGGUUGCCGACCAGGCGAUCGACCAGCUUCCGACCAGAAGCGUUGGUCCAGUGAGGUGAGCCACGACCAGAACAGAGCUGUUACAAAGGAAGCCCACUCCCCUAUGUUCUGAUGGGAAAUAGGACUAGGAUCUGUAAUAGUUGUAUCUGCUUUCCUUUGGUUUGCAUGGGCACAUGAUACAUUCCUAGCAUGACGUUGGAACAAGCAAGGACCCAGCGUGAUCCAGAGGGCAAGCCCAUCCCGGGUAACUUUGUAUCCAGACCCAAGCCGGAAGUUUGUUGAACUUGUAGUCUAGGACAUUGGUAGGGAUCCGCAUGGGCACGCUGAACAAUCCGAUGGCCACCCACAACAUGAAACAUCGGCCCCGCUCGUAGCGCUUGCCGAUCAUCCCUAUCUCUACCGGGCCCGUAUUCCCCGCCUCGCUGAUACUUAUUCAUUUCUUUGAAUCGAUAAAGAUAACCUUAUGCCAAUCUUCCUCAUCGUAUCAUUUAUAGGAAAUGGAGGCCUUUAACAAGCUCUUCCUUAAAGAUAAGGUCGGAAUACCGGAGUUCUUUCUUUGCUUCCAAGAACAUAGAUUCCUUCUUCAACCCAGGUCAUGACUGAGGGCGGGUAUCUCACUCGCAUAUCUAGAGCCCAGCAUCUCUCCUGAACGACACCUUCUGCAGACUCUACUGGUGGUAUUUCCCGAGGCGAGGGUAAAUAUGUGCAUUCAUAUCGGUCAGGAAACGACAAUGACUCUUCUUCUUUCCGGGAAGCUAUGGGCACCUCACAAUUCUUAUACGACAUUAGUGGAAGCGAACAUUUGUAGCAUUCAUUGUCACCGAUCAUUGACAAAAGAAGAAAAAGAAGCCGUACGACAACUUAAGGAAUCUUUAGAUUUGGCGGCUAUAGACUCAAAGGGCACAGACAGGCUGCUGGUACUUUUUUUUAGUUAACUAAAGUCCAACUUCCUUUGCCGAAAGAGGAUGAAACGGAUCAGCCGAUUCAACUUAGCAUUACACGACUCGUAACUUCAAGCACAACCAUCCAUCUCAAUCCAAAAUCUCCGAUCGUCUGUGAUCCAAACCCAAACUCUCCUCCGGUUUUGGAUAUAUAGACAGUGCCUGCUCUCAAACCAACCAAGACAGCAGCAAGUUCCUAUCGAGAACAAGACGACAGAUCAAUAUGACCAAUUUCUAUAAUAUCUCGGGUGAAUACGUGAAAAAGUGUUGCUUAGCUCAGUGAAAUGGAAUAAGGAAGAUAAAGUGUAGUGUGAUAAGGGAAGAUGCAAGUCAAUUUUGAGGUUUUCAAGCAAGGGCUGGGAUAGAUAUACAAACCAGAAGAAUUCACAUCAGAACCCUUUCCUGCUUCCCCUUUUUACCCAUCGGACUCGACUCACAUUUUGAUCUCCUACGCUUGCUUUCACAGUCCCCUACGAGCAGCCCGGAAUCAAUGAAGGAGUUCAUUCAGCACCGAGCCGAGCGAGCGUAGAUUCAAUAUGUUAAUUGUACCGAACGAAGGAUUUGCCUUAUCACGAAAGCCACAUUCGUUUCGUUUGAGGAAGUCACACGUCCUGUUCCCUAUAAAUAAGGAGAUUCAUUAUUAUUUUCAGAAAUCCCCUCUUCUUCCUCCUCAAGCCCCUAUCACAAGACCAAGCGGAUCUCAUCUUGCAGAAGACUCAGAGCGGAUCUAUCUAAUGGCAUGGCUGGCUGGCGAAUGUGAUCUAUUCGCGUGUCACAUCGCUUUCUUUCUUCUCCCUCCAUUUUCUUCACUACUAGGGCUUUCUUCUCCCUCGCUGAUGUCUUCCCCAUGCUGAACGUAAUACUUUAAGUCAGUGGUUUCGAAUCGAUAUUUUUUUUGUUCAGUCUACCGAAGAUAGGAAUAAGUCAAGGUUGUUUCUUUCUUUUUAGUGCCUUCCGUUUAACCCAACUCAAGCUGAAGAAACUUAUUCAAUGGUCACUGCUAACCGCUUUUGGUCCCAAAUCUUUGGUGUUGCUUUUUUUUAAUAAACGUUGGCUACAUUUCUUUAUGCUAUUUGUACCCGUCACCGGUUUAUGGAUGAGUGCUAUUGGCAUAGUUGGCCUGGCUCUGAACCUACGUGCCUAUGACUUCGUUUCCCAGGAAAUCCGUGCAGCGAAAGAUCCUGCAUUUUAGACUUUCUACACAAAAAAGAUUCUUUUAAACGAGGGUAUUCGUGCGUGGAUGGCAGCUCAGGAUCAGCCUCAUGAAAAUAUUAUAUUCCCUUAGUAGGUUCUACCACGUGGAAACGCUCUUUAAUGGAACUUUCGUUUUAGCUGGUCGUGACCAAGAAACCACCGGCUUUACUUGGUGGGCUGGGAAUGCCAGACUUAUCAAUUUUUCCGGUAAACUACUUGGAGCUCACGUAGCCCAUGCCGGAUUAAUCGUUUUCUGGGCCGGAGCAAUGAACCUAUUUGAAGUGGCCCAUUUCGUACCAGAAAAGUCCAUGUAUGAACAAGGGUUUAUUUUACUUCCACACUUAGCUACUCUAGGUUGGGGAGUAGGGCCAGGGGGAGAAGUUCUAGAUACUUUUCCGUACUUUGUAUCUGGAGUACUUCACCUAAUUUCCUCCGCUGUCUUCUCCCUAAGUUUUGCUAAAACCGGCAACGUAAAGUUUUUCAUUUUUUCUUUUUGAUUUUUCAUUUUCUUAGGUAGUUUCCUCAAAGUUCUGUUCAGUCCAUCAUAGAAGCCUGUUCGAUACCAUUGGGAGUGGAAUCUCUUCCUUGGGUGGCAUUACUUUAGCCCAUAGGUUUUCAUAUGUACACAUUAACGACACACUAAGGGAUGACGAGACGAAUGGUGGAAUUAGCAGUUUCAAACGGCAAUAAAAGAGUACCAGAAACAAAAGGAGGAGACCAGGGAAGUGGUAGACAUAGGUAGGUUACAUUUAGACAGGAAAGUGAAGUGCAGUAGUAGUUUACGGGCAAGGAACAUCGGAGAGCUAGAACAGUAGGCGGCCAAGCAGAAGGAAAGUCUCAUCUGUCUGAGUAAACGAGAGAAGGAAGAGUAUAAGUCUAAAGACAGAACUAUAUAGUCCCGAGUAAGUGGCGCGGAGCGGAUUGCAAUAAAGCAAUAGAGAGUUAGCUACAUAUAUUGAAGUUGAAUCUAUGCUCUUUGCAAGGCAAAAAGCUAUCCAAGAUAGUAAGUACUCGGCGGUAUACUCCUGUAGCUCCUUGAUUCCUUACGCAAGUUAGAGCCUUAUGAAAGAGGGAAGACUGCUUAUUAAUAGGCAACUUUUCUUUAGACAUAAAAAAGACUGCUAUUUGAGGGAAUGCCGCAUGGGCCCUAUAACUUGCUUUUCUAUUUCCAACCAAAGCUAGAAGAGCAGCACGUCUAUCCUGAGUUUUCGUGUCUAGCUUGCUUGCUCACUUCCUAUAACGGCAAUCAAAGAAAAUCUCGUUCUGAUCCUAUAACUUAACUAAACUUAACUAAGUAGUAAAGAGAAGAUUAGGAUGAGUAAGCCCUGACUUCAAGUCUAUGUAUAGCAACUAGCUAUAUUACUACUUAUUAGUCAUACUUUAUCUCGAUGGACCUAUUGCCGCCUAUUUAGAAUAAUAAUAAAGUCUUCUAUAGUUACUGGCAUAUUACUCCCAUCAGUGAGAAUUGUAUACGUAGGAGAGAACCUUGCGCAAAAAGGGCUUUGCUUUAUGGUAUAGAUUAGGAAUUGGAAUAAGUAAGGCUAACUAAAAGAGAGAAGAGGGUCUACAGUCAUUCUAGUUCAACACUGAAGAAUAAGACGUCUAUCCUUACUCUUGCAUUAAAUAGAAUAAUAAUAAAGGGAGGGGAGUAUAUCGAAUAUAAGGCAACCCUCAGGCAAACCCAUAAUAAGGCUGAUGAAAGCGAAGCAGAAUUUAAAACAAAUAAGGUACACUCUUGAUCCUUACAGCACAUCUUUACUAUGACUAAAAAGUGCCGGAAGGAGAAAGUCAAAGAAGGACUCGAAACUUGCAGAUAAUGAAUAUAAAGAUGAAAGAUUGAAUGCUUUAUCAGAGAUAGAUUUUGACUUGGGCUUGAACAAAGCCAUUCUUCGCCUUUCUUCGCUAGUUCGCUUAAGUACAUAGGUUAUGGCAAUACAACAUUCUAUCUUUUGCUUAGGCUUGAAACACUUAUUUUCUUAUUAUCUUUUAUUUUCUUUCGCCCUAGGCAAUCUCUUUGCUUGCUGACAUAAACUUUCAACAUAGAUCAAGUUGUUUUUUAGGAGUUUUACCUCUUCUUACUUCUUGACAUCAGAAAGACAAGCGCUUAGCUCCUUCCUAGCAACCUACAUAUCUAUCUGCUCAAAGCACAUUCGGAGUAUAGUUGACUAUUCCUCCUUUACGUAUCUCAGCCAAAGCCUACUUUAUUCUCUGCAAGCUAGGUAGUUAAGGAAUUAAGUAACUAAUUUAGACUGAUUGGUGGCAGGCUCCGACGAAAGCUUAUGGAUUCAGCACUUUGCUAUAAGAAAGAAGCAAGGUUGUCCGACAAAACUAGAGUUUUAAGUAAGCAAGAGAUUGAUUGCGUAGUAGGAAAGAAAGGAAACUACCAAGCGAGGGAUUGUUUGCAUAUUAUAUACUUAUUAACUUCCUGUCAGUAAAGUACUAGUUUUUUAGUUAGUAGUGUGCAAUACUGUUUAAGAAAUGCAUGCAAUCUGAGACUUCAGAAAAUGUAUACUUGAGUCAAACUACACUAGAAUAGUCAGUGAAAAACUACACUGAAUUAUAAAGGUCUUUUCCAUGAAAGAAUAGGUUUUUUGCAUCAAGAGGCUGUGAGGAAAUAAGUAACAUAGUUAAUGAGGAGGGGGUAUGCAUCUUAUCAUCUUUUAUUCGAGAAUAAUAAACGAUCGAGAAAGUAAGCAGCAGGCACGAGUAGACCGACUGAUAGCAAUGGCGAAUCAACGCCCGACCCGGCUCUUUUGUCCUUUUGUUCGCAGAAGGGAGAUCCUGUGCGCUAGCUAUAUCUGUUAUGGAUGGAGCCCUCACUCAACCGACUUGCUACCUGGAAAUCCCCAAUGCACCAAUGUACCAAAGGCACUGUACUUUGAAUAGGAAACACUUCCCUACUUCACUUCCUAAUUAAUAAAGUAGGAGGUAUUCGAGUACGGAGGUACUAGACCGUGAUUCUGGUCCUGAUGCGGACACACCUGUCGACAACAGAGAAGGGAUUCAAUUGAGAGCGGAUAGCAAGAUCGAAUGAAUGGAUACUCUGAGAUAGAACGAUAAAAAGAAAAUUUGAUUAAUCCUACAAAAGCCUUACAAGGCAGGUAAACUUUAUGCAGUAUCUGCUACAAAAAGAAGGUUAGAGAACUGGUUCCAUCUACGUUAUCCUUGGGCAUGAAUAACAUGCUUCUUUCUCAAUUUAUAGGAAUCGUUAACUGCAACUCUCCUUUUCAGGCUUGGAUUGGUUUUUUGAUGCAGUAGAGAAGCCGUUUCCUUUGAACUUGGUCCAUCGGACAGAUAUAGACAUGGAGAAGCUUUUCAAUGUCAAUCUUUCACUACUUUGUUUGGACCUUGCUUCUUCACUUAAUGCUUGCUUUCCUUCUUGCCUUUGCUGGGCCUACGAUAGGCUGUACUCCAAUACGAAAUAAGAUUGUACAUGAAGGUUGGUGAAAAGCAAAAGAAGCAAUUGGUUCUCAAAUGCCGUGACGUCACCUAGCUUUAUUCUAUAUUUCUCAUUCUAUUGGUAUGUAUAGUGUCUUUCAUCUGCUUUUUCAUUCAUUCUGCCCACAGCCGUUAGGUAUUAUGACAAAAGGAACCAGCAUGUCGCUGCUGAAUCUACAGAUAGAGAAGAGGGCACGUCUCUUUUUCUAGAAGCCGGUCUAUGUUCUUAUUCUUAAUCAAAUUCUAAAGAAACGUCAGUUUCAAAUCACUUCCAUUGGGCUGAGCGGGUCAUAUAUGCCUUUUGGCUUUCACCUAUGUUAUGUAUUCUCUCACAAUCACUCCUAGCAAUAAGUGAAAAGGCGGCUAUCGAUACUGUCCCAACACCUCCUCUUCUGUGUCUACUUCUCCAUUCUAAUUUCUGACUAGUUCACGCCUGCUUGUGUAUUGGUUAUAACCUCUGUACUGUAUUUUGUUUGGCUUAAAUUGCCAAAUGGCGAGACCAAACCCCAUGAAGCUUCUAAGUCUGAUGUUGAUUUGCAAGAAUCAGAUUUACCAACGGGAAGAACGCUUAGUGUAUCCGCGGUGGGUGAAUCUUAGGAAACUCGCCUUGUCCGAACAAAAGCGGGAGGUAGGUAGGUGGUAGUUAGAAGGAUUCCUUCGGGGAGCUGCUUCUUCCUCUGGAUUCAAUCUCAAUGACUGCUAGGAUUUCUUUCUACUUCUAUUUGCGGCAUAUAGAAUUUUACGAUAGAUGAAGCGGAAGAAGGAACAAGGCUUGAAGGCGGAUUAGCAAGGGAAUGAAUCUGAUGAAGCUGUUCCUCCGCUAGAAUAAGGGGGGCAUGAUCGCUGAUUUGACCGGGCAGACCAGAUGAGCGAGAUUGAUUGAAAGCGUUGUGCCAACUUGCGUACAAGAUUUUUAGACUCUAGUAAAUCCUCUUCACAAGUUAUUUCGUACAGGCUAUUCAAGGUCUAUUGGCUUUAUUGCUUAUGUGGUACUUCGACCGCGAAGCCUCGCUUAUGCACCGAGAAAGAUCGUAGAUAGGAAAGAUCUAUUAUGCACCAACGACGGCCCCUUCUCUUUACCUUUAUCGUCUCAUACCUCAGUCCAUUGCUGGCUUGAAUGAUGUCUCUCUUCUUCUUUGCUCGCGAGAGUGAAUAAGAGGACGACCCACCGGGGGGAGGAUGGAAUGAGUCGGCAAGGGGAUCAACCAUCUUCUUUCAGUAAAGGCCCACACAUUAUCCUUAAUAUUGGGAUAAAAGGACUCUGAAGAAGGAAACUCUCUUCCCGUCUUGCAUAACUGACCACUGCAAAUCAAGUCGAAAGUGCUUAUAUGCUUAACACGUUUUUGUCUCAAUGACAGGCCGCUUGAACAUUGUCUGAUUUUUUUGAAGAGACUCGAUCUUAUGUAUCUACUUAUUGUCUUUUUGCCUUUGCUCGGUAGUUCCGUAGCCGGUUUUUUCGGACGUUUUCUAGGAUCUGAAGGAACCGCUAUAAUGACCACCACGUGCGUUUCAUUUUCUUCGAUCUUAUCUUUGAUUGCUUUUUAUGAAGUCGCACUAGGAGCUAGUGCUUGCUAUCUCAGAAUAGCUCCAUGGAUCUCAUCAGAAAUGCUUGAUGCUCCUUGGGGCUUCUUUGGCGACCGUGAAGUCACCGGAUGAAUUGCCGAGUAGAUAGAUCAGAUCCGGACGCUGCAGUUGUUCCGCGGUGAUACGGAGUCGACCCGCUCCUACCCACCCUGGGGUAUCAUAGCAUAUCGGGAAUCGAGGGGGGACAUACUGGACGUAACUACUCCCGUCGGUUGGGGGCUCUGCCGCCCUGCCUUUCGAUUG